rnacentral:rRNA from 1 species
UAACUCCGUGCCAGCAGCCGCGGUAAUACAGAGGGUGCGAGCGUUAAUCGGAUUUACUGGGCGUAAAGCGUGCGUAGGCGGCUUUUUAAGUCGGAUGUGAAAUCCCUGAGCUUAACUUAGGAAUUGCAUUCGAUACUGGGAAGCUAGAGUAUGGGAGAGGAUGGUAGAAUUCCAGGUGUAGCGGUGAAAUGCGUAGAGAUCUGGAGGAAUACCGAUGGCGAAGGCAGCCAUCUGGCCUAAUACUGACGCUGAGGUACGAAAGCAUGGGGAGCAAACAGGAUUAGAUACCCUGGUAGUCCAUGCCGUAAACGAUGUCUACUAGCCGUUGGGGCCUUUGAGGCUUUAGUGGCGCAGCUAACGCGAUAAGUAGACCGCCUGGGGAGUACGUCCGCGAGGUUAA